rnacentral:rRNA from 1 species
GAUGAACGCUGGCGGCGUGCCUAAUACAUGCAAGUCGAGCGAAGCGGGGACGGGUGAGUAACACGUGGAUAAACUCGUAUAAGACUGGGAUAACUUAGGGAAACCGGAGCUAAACCGGGUACUCAUAGAUGGAGCCGCGCUGUAAUAGCUAGUUGGUAAGGUAACGGCUUACCAAGGCAACGAUGCAUAGCCGACCUGAGAGGAUGAUCUGCCACACUGGAACUGAGACACGGUCCAGACUCCUACGGGAGGCAGCAUUAUGGAAUCUGCCGCAAUGGGCGAAAGCCUGACGGAGCAACGCCGCGUGAGUUAUGAAGGUCUUCGGAUCGUAAAACUCUGUUAUUAGGGAAGCGGUACCUAAUCAGAAAGCCACGGCUAACUACGUGCCAGCAGCCGCGGUAAUUC